CUAUAUUGGAACAGCCAUCUGUUGAGACCUUAAACCUUUUAAUUUGACCCUUUGUGUUUUCAGACAUACUUAUUAACAAGGUCUUUAUUUUACAUGAGUACUCUCAUCUUCUGAAUUCAAAUAUGACUGUUGUCUCUUGAUUUGAGCUUUGCUGCAAGCUCCAUGUUAAACCCGGCAUAUUGCUUCUCCCUUGGCUAAUUUCUUCUUGUUGCCCUCUUUAUUAGUUAGUUUCCCUGAACUACUUAUAAACUCUAAAAAUUCUGUUGAUACGAUCUUCUAUCGCAGUGUUGUUGAGCAAAUUGCAAUUGUUUGUUUUUCCUAUUCUUUCAAAUCCAUUUGUAACCAACCAUCUCAGGUCUUCCUAUUAUCAUCUGGGGAUUCUUGAAUCUUUUCUACUUCACUGUAAAUUUUGAUUAUAUUAUUGACAACUUAUUGUUGACAUCUACAUUCUAUUCAUCAUACCCUCACUUUCGCGAUUUAUUCUAUCUGGCAAGCUCUUCCCACAAUAAAAUUUCCAAGCUCUAUGGGUAUAGCCCUUUGAAGUUGUAUCUUUUCUUUUCUGGGAGUGAGCAUAAUGAGCCCAAUUGAGCCUAGUUUUUGCACUUCACGAAAAUCUUUGUUGCAAGUUACUGGUGAGAGUUUGUGGUGAACCAAACACUCACGUAAUCGAAAUAAUUAUAAUCGUUUUAUUUUCAUGACUAUCUUGGAGCGUACACAAAGCAAGGACGAUUCGAAUAUUUCUCUUGGAAUCCCAAAUCCAGUUCCUAUCAUAGUUAAAACGGUUAGAUCAACUCUAUAUUUCCUCGAGUGAGACCCUCAUGGGAGGCAAGACAUUGAUCACAGCAGAAAAAAAAAAAUCAUACGCCGACGAACGUCGAAUCGGAUUGAAAUUUAACAUCGGGGAUAAAAUAUUCUUGAAAGUAUCCCCUCCAAAGGGAUAACUAGAUUUGGACUCAAGGGUAAGUUAAAACCACGAUUUAUUGGACCCUAUGAAAUUCUGGAAGAAGUGGGCCCAGUAGUAUAUCGUUUGGCAUUACCAUCCAACUUUGGGAACGUUCACAACGUAUUCCACGUCUCCCAACUUUGAAGGUACGUGUUCGAUCCAAAACAUGUGAUUCGCCACGAAGAAAUCACUCUAGAGCCUAACCUAAGUUACGAAGAAAAGCCGGUAGAAAUACAAUAUCGAAAUGUGCAGCAACUUCGGAAUAAGUCGAUUACUACAAUGAAGGUUUUGUGGAAACACCAUGAACAGGUAGAAGCAACAUGAGGGCUAGAAGAGAAAUGUCCCGAGCUUUUUGUCUAAAUACAUCCUAAAUUUCGGGACGAAAUUUCUUUUAAGAGGGGUAGAAUGUAACGACCCGCUAAGUCGAUAUUAUUAUAAACUAUAUUAUUAGCUUGAUUAUUUAUAUAAGUGACUUUUGCGUAAUUAAUUUCGAACUACGAUAGAGUGUCGUUGUUGUUUAUAACAUUAGAAAUAUAUAUAAUAUAUAUAUAUAUGUAUAAUAAAAGAAUCAGAUCCCAAAAAUCAAAAUUUUAAUAUCCGAUACAUCCAACAAAAGUCCAACAAAAUUUAAUUCAUCCUACGUUCUAAGCAAAUCGGGUACUUCAGCGCGGGCAGCCACGAACUUGAACCGAGUAUACCUACACCAAAUUAAACGAACAAGUGAACAAAUACUCAAACAAUUAAUUUAAUAAAAAAAUAAAAUAAAUAAAAGAAAAAAAAACGGAUAUGGCAGAUCCUAAGGGAUUGAUCUUUUCAGACAAAACAUUAAAUGCUGCAUUAAUAGAUUGCAGUAGAAGCCAUCAUUCUCUAACAGAAUAUUUCAAGAUACGCCACUUGCCAUCUUUUUCUGUACAUGUACAUUUAUACAAAUCAUUUUUCCCUCACCUAUCGUCCCCUGCAAGCAAGAAAACCAACACUUAUUCUUUUCAAGUUCAAUUCAAGAAACGAAUCUGCAAGUCCAAAGAAUUACUCCUUUUGCACCCCAAAAUUCAGAUCGACAGAAGGGUACCUUCGCAAGUAAAGUUGGAGCGAGAAUUUCAAGUUAAAGGAACUAAAUGAUCCAGGUUGAGCAGCGAAGUGGUGGAGGAAGUGCUAUUGAGACAAGACAUCUAAUUCAGUCAG